GAAAAUAGGGAAGGAGGGAAAAAGGGGUGGGAUAUAAAUGCUACUAUCACUUUGGCAGUUUCUUUUUGUUGUUGUUGUUGCUUUUUUUCUGGUACCGGGAAUUGAACUCACAACUUUGCACUUGCCAGGCAGGCGCUGUGCUGCUAAGCUAAAUCUCCAGCCCCACUUUGGCAGUUUCUUGAAAAGUACAACACGCACCCAGAACUUGACCCGCCCAUUCCACUUCUAGAUAUUUAAUCACAAGAGAUAAAGUAUGUCUCUGUGAAGACUUAUUCAUGGAUGUCGAUCAUUUCUUUGUAACAGCCCAAGUAGGUACUACUACUUUACAUUCCCAUCAGCAGUGUCUGAGAGCUUCUGUUGUUCCCUACCCUCAUCCACACUCGGGACGGUCCCUCAUCUGUAAUUUUAGCCAUCUCAGCCACUGCACAGUGUUAGCUCAUUGCUUUCUUCAGUGUUAUUUUUGGUAUUAGUAAGAAGUCACUUUAAAAUUUUUAUUUACAAAUAAAAUACAGUACAACUGACUUAAAUGUGCUAACGAUCCAGAUAUCUAGGAACAGGUGAAUGGAGAAACAAAUUAUGCAGUAUCGAUACACUGGCAUAUCAGCAAAAAGGGAGAAGCUUUGGUCUCCUCAAACACCCGGACAAGUCUCAAAACGACUACGCCGAGUGCAGCUGGGAAAGGGUAAAGGCCUGCUACAGGCUUUCAUUUACGUGAAAUUCCAGGAAUGCAAACUAAUAUAGUGUCAGAAAGCAGAGGCGUGGUUGCCCGAGAACAGGCAGCAGAAGGCAGCACGUUCCCAGUUCCAAUAGUUUAAAAGCGCAUUAGAGAAACAACUCCUUAAGACUCAGGCCCUGCAGAACGCCCCCGGAAGGCGCACAGCCAAACUGGCCGGGGUUCAGGCGCGCGGGGGCGGGCGGGGGAGGAGCGCGGCUCCGCCCCCCGGGACACGUGGGCUCAGGGGGCGGGGCGGGGCCUCGCACUUCCCCUUCAGCAAUCAGCACCGCCGCCCUUCGCCGUCACCUCACCCCUCACCCCUCCGGUUAUUGUCCUGCGGGAUGGAGUAGUGUUUGUUUCCGAGCUGCUCCGUGCCCACGUGCUCCUUCACCCCCUUUGACAGCGUCCUCCACGGGGCGCGGAACAAACCUUGAAGGCGACCCACGCUGGCCCUCUGUUAUCCCUGGGAAUCGCGCGGAGCUGCGGCAGUUAAAAGCGAAAGUCUCACCCACCAACCGCUCCCUCCGCGCAGUUCCCGCCUACGUCCUCAAGUCUUCUACGUCAUCGCGCUCCCCAUUGGUCACUUGGAAUUACGCUUGGCCAAUAGGAGAUUGUGUUGUGACAGCGCCUCAACUGAAGAUGUUUUGGCAGCCUAAUAUGCGGUAAGGACAAGAGAUGCUGGGUUUAUUCCUUGAGACAAGCAAGUUUGGAGGACCCUCUGUGCUUCCAGAGAGCAAUCAACGUGGGGGUUUGGGGACUGGAAUUAAACAAAGACAGAGAUGUUGAAAGAAUCCAUGGGAGUGGAGUUACGCCCUUGACAUCGAAUUUGUUGAAAGGAGAUACCUUGAUCGGUGACACCAGGGAAAACUUGGAGACCUCUUUGCAGCCUCUGGCUACAGUUUCUGCUCCAUUACCUUGGGGCUAGGAGAGAUACUUGUAGUGGUUCACUGUCCUGUUUCACCGUCAGGAAUGGGCUCCAUCAACAGUGGCACUUGGAGCUCCUAAGAUAGGAAACCCAAAAAAGGCAGAGCCACCUGAGCCCUUCUCGGAGCUUGCUUCACAUGCAGCAAAGAAGGAUACUGGGUUGGUCUUUGGCUGAUCUGCUUGGUCUCACUGCUGAACAGGAUUGAUGGGGUUGGGGUCCACGGCCCCCAUUAAGGUAUCCUUCAUGGAGCCCUGAGUCUCAGUGGAAGAAGUAGGGCUACAAGGUUUCUUCAAUCUCAGAUGUGCACCUUCACUAACGAACUCUUCAUCCUGACUGAGACACCUGGGACCAGCUUCUAUAUGGAUUCUCUUUGUCCCCAAAAUGAUACCCCCAUUUAGCUGGAAGCAGUCUGAGUCAUUGCCCAUUCUUAACAACCAAAAGAUGGGAAUGAUAGGUUCCUGCCCCGGCAGAAUUGCUGAAUCAUUAUGGCGGCCUAACAUUACUGAAGCCCCAAACAACAGCUUAUCUUCCCAAUGACCACUUCCCACUUCUUCUCCCCUCAGCUCUGAAUACAACUUCCUCCUACCCUUCCUGCACAUGUGAAGAAAGCCCCAAUCAGCUCCUAACGUGUCACUGAGCCCACCUGUCAAGCUCCACCUGUAGCCAAAGUCUUCACAAACCCCCAGACUCUGUUGUCUAACUCAGAGGAGCCCUGUGCUGCAUGCAGUCCUCUCCUCUCCGUGUCCAGAAUAAAGGCCUUCUUCCCCGC